rnacentral:rRNA from 1 species
UACGUAGGGUGCGAGCGUUAAUCGGAAUUACUGGGCGUAAAGCGUGCGCAGGCGGUUUGUAAGCCAGAUGUGAAAUCCCCGGGCUUAACCUGGGAAUGGCAUUUGGGACUGCAAGGCUGGAGUUUGGCAGAGGAGACUGGAAUUCCCGGUGUAGCAGUGAAAUGCGUAGAUAUCGGGAGGAACACCAGUGGCGAAGGCGGCGACCUGGACAGA